rnacentral:rRNA from 1 species
GACGAACGCUGGCGGCGUGCUUAACACAUGCAAGUCGAACGGUAAGGCUCCAGCUUGCUGGGGUACACGAGUGGCGAACGGGUGAGUAACACGUGGGUGACCUGCCCUGCACUUCGGGAUAAGCCUGGGAAACUGGGUCUAAUACCGGAUAGGACUGCACCGUGAGGGUGUGGUGGAAAGUUUUUUCGGUGUGGGAUGGGCCCGCGGCCUAUCAGCUUGUUGGUGGGGUAAUGGCCUACCAAGGCGGCGACGGGUAGCCGGCCUGAGAGGGUGGACGGCCACAUUGGGACUGAGACACGGCCCAGACUCCUACGGGAGGCAGCAGUGGGGAAUAUUGCACAAUGGGCGGAAGCCUGAUGCAGCGACGCCGCGUGGGGGAUGACGGCCUUCGGGUUGUAAACUCCUUUCACCAUCGACGAAGGGUUUCUGACGGUAGAUGGAGAAGAAGCACCGGCUAACUACGUGCCAGCAGCCGCGGUAAUACGUAGGGUGCGAGCGUUGUCCGGAAUUACUGGGCGUAAAGAGCUCGUAGGUGGUUUGUCGCGUCGUCUGUGAAAUUCCGGGGCUUAACUCCGGGCGUGCAGGCGAUACGGGCAUAACUUGAGUACUGUAGGGGAGACUGGAAUUCCUGGUGUAGCGGUGAAAUGCGCAGAUAUCAGGAGGAACACCGGUGGCGAGGGCGGGUCUCUGGGCAGUAACUGACGCUGAGGAGCGAAAGCAUGGGGAGCGAACAGGAUUAGAUACCCUGGUAGUCCAUGCCGUAAACGGUGGGCGCUAGGUGUGGGUUUCCUUCCACGGGAUCCGUGCCGUAGCUAACGCAUUAAGCGCCCCGCCUGGGGAGUACGGCCGCAAGGCUAAAACUCAAAGGAAUUGACGGGGGCCCGCACAAGCGGCGGAGCAUGUGGAUUAAUUCGAUGCAACGCGAAGAACCUUACCUGGGCUUGACAUAUACAGGAUCGCGCCAGAGAUGGUGUUUCCCUUGUGGCUUGUAUACAGGUGGUGCAUGGUUGUCGUCAGCUCGUGUCGUGAGAUGUUGGGUUAAGUCCCGCAACGAGCGCAACCCUUGUCUUAUGUUGCCAGCACGUUGUGGUGGGGACUCGUAAGAAACUGCCGGGGUUAACUCGGAGGAAGGUGGGGAUGACGUCAAAUCAUCAUGCCCCUUAUGUCCAGGGCUUCACACAUGCUACAAUGGUCGGUACAGUGGGUUGCCAGUCCGUGAGGGCGAGCUAAUCCCGCAAAGCCGGUCUCAGUUCGGAUCGGGGUCUGCAACUCGACCCCGUGAAGUCGGAGUCGCUAGUAAUCGCAGAUCAGCAACGCUGCGGUGAAUACGUUCCCGGGCCU